rnacentral:rRNA from 1 species
AGUGAACGCUGGCGGUAGGCCUAACACAUGCAAGUCGAACGGCAGCACAGUAAGAGCUUGCUCUUACGGGUGGCGAGUGUCGGACGGGUGAGGAAUACAUCGGAAUCUACUUUUUCGUGGGGGAUAACGUAGGGAAACUUACGCUAAUACCGCAUACGACCUACGGGUGAAAGCAGGGGAUCUUCGGACCUUGCGCGAUUGAAUGAGCCGAUGUCGGAUUAGCUAGUUGGCGGGGUAAAGGCCCACCAAGGCGACGAUCCGUAGCUGGUCUGAGAGGAUGAUCAGCCACACUGGAACUGAGACACGGUACAGACUCCUACGGGAGGCAGCAGUGGGGAAUAUUGGACAAUGGGCGCAAGCCUGAUCCAGCCAUACCGCGUGGGUGAAGAAGGCCUUCGGGUUGUAAAGCCCUUUUGUUGGGAAAGAAAAGCAGCAGGUUAAUACCCCGCUGUUCUGACGGUACCCAAAGAAUAAGCACCGGCUAACUUCGUG